rnacentral:misc_RNA from 1 species
UAUCUUACACAAGACUAUAUCCUGCAUUAAAUAUCAGCAAAAAUAAAUAAUAUAUUAGCACUUUCCUAGGUAUUUCCCUAAUAAAACAAAAUUUUACUUAUUGGAGGGCCACUGACCCCACCAGUACAUAACAGGGUCCACUAUCAUUUUCAUGUUUGAAAUUGAUGGUUGAGUCUUUCUUUUUUAUUUUUUUUAAUAUUCCUGGAAGGGGAA